rnacentral:tRNA from 1 species
AGAGAGGUGUCUGAGUGGUUGAAAGAGCACGCCUGGAAAGUGUGUAUGCGCGAAAUCGCAUCGGGAGUUCGAAUCUCCUCCUCUCUG